GACGAACGCUGGCGGCGUGCUUAACACAUGCAAGUCGAACGGAAAGGCCCUGCUUUUGUGGGGUGCUCGAGUGGCGAACGGGUGAGUAACACGUGAGUAACCUUCCCUUGACUUUGGGAUAACUUCAGGAAACUGGGGCUAAUACCGGAUAGGAGCUCCUGCUGCAUGGUGGGGGUUGGAAAGUUUCGGCGGUUGGGUAUGGACUCGCGGCUUAUCAGCUUGUUGGUGGGGUAGUGGCUUACCAAGGCUUUGACGGGUAGCCGGCCUGAGAGGGUGACCGGCCACAUUGGGACUGAGAUACGGCCCAGACUCCUACGGGAGGCAGCAGUGGGGAAUAUUGCACAAUGGGCGGAAGCCUGAUGCAGCAACGCCGCGUGCGGGAUGACGGCCUUCGGGUUGUAAACCGCUUUCGCCUGUGACGAAGCGUGAGUGACGGUAAUGGGUAAAGAAGCACCGGCUAACUACGU
rnacentral:rRNA from 1 species